rnacentral:lncRNA from 1 species
UGUCUCAAUUCAUCUUGAAGAUCUCUCUCUCAGCAGAGUAUGAAAGCUUUUUUUCAUUCCUAAAAUCUGUACCUCCACCCCUUUCGCUCUGACAGGUAAGGACACCGAGGCACAGAGACUGCUGUCUGCCCGCUGAGCCCCGCGCGGGGAGGUCCAGAGACCGCAGCUCCCGCCCGGGACUCCUCGCAUUAACCACAGAUGGACCGAGAGUCCAGGGCCCAGCAAGAUGACGGGCCGGGUCCCACGCAUGCCGCCUUCCGCUGUACCUCAGGCAGAGGGCCAGAGCCUCCCGGGGACCCCCUCCAGACCUCAUCCAGACCACAGGCCCCAGAAAGGUGGCUAGAAAAGGCUUAGGCUACCGUCAGCCCCCUGCAUCUCCCCCUGCACAGGCCAGAGGCUGGGCGAGUACGUGCACAGAGAUGGCCUUCCCCAUAGCCUCCCCAUGCUCUGGGGCCUCAGACAGCUUCCCCCCCGCCAGCACAGACCUCUCCCCAGACGUCCGGGAUCCUGCAAUGAGCAAAGCCGAUACACCCUUUUCUUUUCUAUGGAUACCCAUUCAUUUUAUAAUUUUCAAGUCUCAGUGUAUUAUUUUUUUAAUUUGCCAGAGAAGCGAUGAAAUUAUAUGACUCUUCUGCCUACCUUGCAUUCUCUUGUUUCUCGGGGCAUCUGAUCU